AACGAACGCUGGCGGCAUGCCUAACACAUGCAAGUCGAACGAGAUCUUCGGGUCUAGUGGCGCACGGGUGCGUAACGCGUGGGAAUCUGCCCUUUGGUUCUGAAUAACAGUUGGAAACGACUGCUAAUACCGGAUGAUGACGAAAGUCCAAAGAUUUAUCGCCAGAGGAUGAGCCCGCGUAGGAUUAGCUAGUUGGUGUGGUAAAGGCGCACCAAGGCGACGAUCCUUAGCUGGUCUGAGAGGAUGAUCAGCCACACUGGGACUGACACACGGCCCAGACGCCGACGGGAGGCAGCAGUGGGGAAUAUUGGACAAGGGGCGAAAGCCUGAUCCAGCAAUGCCGCGUGAGUGAUGAAGGCCUUAGGGUUGUAAAGCUCUUUUACCCGGGAUGAUAAUGACAGUACCGGGAGAAUAAGCUCCGGCUAACUCCGUGCCAGCCGCCGCGGUAA
rnacentral:rRNA from 1 species